rnacentral:rRNA from 1 species
UCCGCAGGGGGCCUGCCAAGUCUGUCGUGAAAACCCGGGGCUCAACCCCCGGGGCCUGCGGUGGAAACAGGCGGGCUGGAGUGUGUGAGGGGCAGACGGAACACCUGGUGUAGCGGUGGAAUGCGUGGAUAUCAGGUGGAACACCGAUGGCGAAGGCGGUCUGCUGGCACACAACUGACCCUCAGGGACGAAAGCGUGGGUAGCAAACA